rnacentral:rRNA from 1 species
UGAACAUGGGGGGUCCGCCCUCCAAGCCUAAGUACUCCUUGACGACCGAUAGUGAAUCAGUAAGGCGACUGAAUGAUUAAAAGCACCCCUGUUAGGGGAGUGAAAGAGUACCUGAAACCGUGUGCUUACAAGCGGUCGGAGCCCCUUCGGGGGUGACGGCGUGCCUUUUGCAUAAUGAGCCUACGAGUUACUUUUGUUAGCGAGGUUAAGCACUUCUGGUGCGCAGCCGUAGCGAAAGCGAGUCUGAACAGGGCGUUUUAGUUCGUUGGAUUAGACCCGAAACCGAGUGAUCUAGCCAUGGCCAGG